rnacentral:rRNA from 1 species
CAGUCGCCGCGGGAAUACGUAGGGUGCAAGCGUUAAUCGGAAUUACUGGGCGUAAAGCGUGCGCAGGCGGUGUUGUAAGACUGAUGUGAAAUCCCCGGGCUCAACCUGGGAACUGCAUUGGUGACUGCAACGCUGGAGUGCGGCAGAGGGGGAUGGAAUUCCGCGUGUAGCAGUGAAAUGCGUAGAUAUGCGGAGGAACACCGAUGGCGAAAGCACUCUGCUGGGCCGACACUGACACUGAGAGACGAAAGCUAGGGGAGCAAAUGGGAUUAGAUACCCCUGUAGUCCCUGUCUCUUAUAC